CACACACACACACACACACACACACACACACAGAUCUGAAGCGGGACAUGAGAGUUAAAUCUGGGAUUAUUUCCGGACUGCCUUCAUCUCUCUCUCUUCUUCUUCUUCCUCUUCUUCUUGUGCUGGAUGGAGUCUCCUGUUACAAAGCAGACGUAAAGCACUGAGAGAAGAUCCUUCUGCCCUGACGCCCACACACCCUAUUACCGAUCGUCUCAGAUCAGUCGAGUCCAACAUGAGCCGAGCUGGACCUCCAGCUGUACAUCUGGGUCCAGAACAUCAGAGAAACCGGGAGGAACCUCACAAGGUGUUAAAAGAGAGCCGGAAAAGAUUCUGUAAUGUGGAGCUGUCUAAUGUUCCCUCACGGGGUUCUACAGUUCAGGAGACCGAGUGCAGAAAUCCCGAGGAACAUCAAAAGAGCAUUAGAAGGAGAGGAUCUUUAAUAAUAUCUAAUCAUCAUCCUGAAUUCUCCUCAUAAUGCAGAUGCAGAGACUGAACCUAAACACACUGCCACUGUACAGUAGAACCAGGACAUGACACCACCAUCACACUCCAUCAAAUCCCACUUUUAUAGAAUCUUAGAAACUGCUGUGGAAAAUAAACAAAUGAUAAAACAACAUCUCAACAUAACUCUAGUACUCUACAACACAUCGUCAGUCACUUGUUCCUUUACAAUGGUGGAUCUCCAAAGGUAUGCAGAGACUGUGCUCUACUGAGCCUGUGUUUCUAAGUACCAUCAGCAGGGGGCGCCUCAUUAACAUCUACAGCACGAUGGACCUCUGAAUCGCUGGAAGAGUUUUCCAUAUGAGAAGAAGCUGUAGAUCACAUCACAGAGGAGAACAAAACACGGACACCAUAAGGAUCUCACUUCUCCACUUCUUUACACUCAUCUGGAGCUAGAACCCAUCAAGAUUUAAUACCAGCAAGUUUAAAGAGAUUAAUAAUAAUUCAGAAGAUCAAGUCCAUCACACGGUCCAGUCACUGUACACACUGAUGACACACACCAUGACAGGUUCUUCUUAAGAUCUUCAUCUUAGGUCUGUUUCGUUGUUUCAUUGUGAUCAUUUUUGUUGAACUAAACAAUUUACAGUUUAAGUCUGAUUUUAACAUAUAUUUCUUUUAAAAGCUGCUGGAAUUGUUGUCAUGGAGGAAUGUCAAGUAAAAAAUGGAAAAUGAUAAGAGAACAAAAAGAGCAGACAGUGGAGGAAAUGAAAGUGUCACGAGUCCGUCAGGAUCCACGUUUCAGAUUACAGAGACGACGGGCGAGGACUACAGCACACACCCGGUCCAGACUCUCUCACUACUGAUCACACACACCACAGCACCACACCACUCAAGGACUCACUCUGUGUGUGUGUGUGUGUGUGUGUGUUAAUCAUGUCUCUGCUUUUCUCCACUGACUUGUGCAGGUCGAGUUUACAGUUAGAAAAUGAUUUAACUGACCAGAGAUCAGCUCUAAAGUCCACAGUCUACGUCCACAACCAUCACACUGAUAAACUCUACACUACACCAUUAAUUCAAUUAGAUUCAAUUCAGUUUUAUUUGUAUAGCGCUUUUAACAAUUGACAUUGUCGCAAAGCAGCUUUACACAAUCAAAAGAAUUAUUUAAAUAAUGUUAAAGAAUUAAGCCACCUAAGGCAUGUAUACCUUUUACCUACAUUUACAUUUAUGCAUUUGGCAGACGCUCUUAUCCAGAGCGACUUACAUUUUUAUCUCAUUACACAUCUGAGCAGUUGAGGGUUAAGGGCCGCGCUCAAGGUGGUUGUGGGGUUUGAACCUGGGAUCUGCCGAACCGUAGUCCAAUGCCUUAACCACACCUCUAAAAUAUCUCACAAUAUACAUAUAUACAACAUAAUAAGUACAGUAUAUAUAACUGUAGCAUAAUAUAUAACUGAUAGAUUUUUAUAUAUCACUAGACUUUCUCAGUAUAUACAGUACAAUUUAUCUCUAUAUACAUUGCACAAAUAAUCCAGCUAAUCUUUUGUAUGUGUGUGUGUGUGUGUGUGUGUGUGUGUGUGUGUCCUACUAAAUUGUUCUGGACACCUUAUAUUCCUGUUUAUAUCCCCUUUUCCACAUCAUAGUGUUAUCUAUUCUGUAGUGUAUUCCUGCACACACUCGCUGCACUGCCAUGUUACACUGUAUUUACUGCAUUUACUGUAAAUAUAAAACUCUUCUUAUUUAA